rnacentral:lncRNA from 1 species
AUGUUUAUGUUGAAUAUUAGUGCUUGGGGAAAAGCAGCUUCCAACAAAGAAGAAAGAAGCAGCAAGGGUCAGGGGUGUGGAAGAUUCAGAGAGCGGAGUGGAAGCCCAGCUGUCAUGGCCAGGCCACAGUCCUGCAUCUGACAGGGCUGUGGACGAAAGCCGAGUCUGUCCUGGAGCAGCUGGGCCUGGGCAGGUCUGAGCCCGUGUGAGGAACAUUCCUGCAGAUGCACAGCAUGCAGAGGGCAGGCGGGGCUGACGCACACACUUCUCCCCAGUGAAUUCUGGAGGCUGGAGUCAACCUAUAGAAAGUCUUCCAUGAGGCCGAAAUUGGAGUGUGUGAUGGGGGUGGCUCCUGGGUCUCAUGGAGUUCCUCAGAGAGCUUCUGCCUGAGUUAUCUAUUGGUAUUCUGCAGCAGCUGCCUCACAGAGCCUGGAGAGCUCCAGCAAGGAUGGGCCGGAACUCCAGCUGCUGUGGAACCAGCUCUUGGAUUUCUUUAUCCAUAUGAAGACCUGCAAAGGGCCUGAUAUUUUUUUUUUCUCCUACGUGCCGGCUAACAAGUUAGUCUGCCAGUGGUCUCCUAGGUGAGAGAUUUGUGCCAGUUCCCUAACCCCAGUUCCACCUAACAUCAUGAAAGUCUCAUAAUGUCUGCACACAGAGUGGGUUACAGGAGAGGAAUCUAAGUCCUAAAUUUAGGGAACCGGAAUCUUUUAUAAGGACAGUAAGCUGGGCGCUUGGCUCUGGGUAAAGACCCUCUCUUUGUCUUGCAAAGCUGUUUGCUAUACAAACGUCCCUGAAGAGAUGGUCCACAAGAAAGGCAGCCAGUGCCUCUGCCUCUGCCCCUGUCCUGAGGUAUUCACAAACCAAGAGAUUUUGGAGAACUGUCUCCCAACAAUCAAUCAAUCAAUCAAUCCCACUGAUUUUGUCUUUCUUUCUUCCUUUCUUUC